rnacentral:lncRNA from 1 species
CCCACCUCCACCAGUCCACCAUUAUGAUCCUCCAUAUUACUACAAGUCACCUCCACCUCCCUCACCAGUUUACAAGUACAACUCCCCACCUCCACCAGUCCACCAUUACGAUCCUCCAUAUUACUACAAGUCACCUCCACCUCCCUCACCGGUUUACAAGUACAACUCCCCACCUCCACCAGUCCAUUAUUAUUCACCUCCAUAUUACUACAAAUCACCCCCUACUCCUGUGAAAUCGCCACCACCUCCAUACUACUAUAAAUCACCGCCUCCUCCCUCACCAGUUUAUAAGUAUAGCUCACCACCUCCACCAGUCCACCAUUAUGAUCCUCCAUAUAACUACAAGUCACCUCCACCGCCUUCACCUGUUUACAAGUACAACUCCCCACCUCCACCAGUCCAUUAUUAUUCACCUCCAUAUUACUACAAAUCACCCCCUCCUCCUGUGAAAUCGCCACCACCUCCUUACUACUAUAAAUCACCUCCUCCUCCCUCACCGGUUUACAAAUACAACUCACCACCUCCACCGGUUUACAAGUACAACUCACCAC